CCUACGGGUGGCAGCAGUGAGGAAUAUUGGUCAAUGGACGCAAGUCUGAACCAGCCAUGCCGCGUGCAGGAAGACGGCUCUAUGAGUUGUAAACUGCGUUUGCACGAGGGUAAACGCAGCUACGCGUACAUGUCUGAAAGUAUCGUACGAAUAAGGAUCGGCUCAAUCCGUGCCAGCAGCCGCGGUAAGACGGAGGACACAAGCGUUACCCGGAUUUAUUGGGUUGAAAGGGUGCGUAGGCGGUCGGAUAAGUGAGAGGUGAAAUCAAGAGGCUCAACUUCGGUAUUGCAUCUGAUACUGUUCAGCGAGAGUGUAGGUGAGGUAAGUGGAAUGUAUGGUGUAGCGGUGAAAUGCGUAGAGAUCAGGAAGAACACCAGUGGCGAAGGCGGCUUACCGGACUACUUCUGACGUUGAGGCACGAGAGCGUGGGGAGCAAACAGGAUUAGAUACCCGUGUAGUC
rnacentral:rRNA from 1 species